AACCACCAGCAUUGCCGCCACCACCAGCAACACCACCACCUGCUUUGCCACCACCGCAGGUAUCCCCAACUCCAGCCCAAGCACCGCCAGCACCUGCACCAGCUAAGGCACCGCCAACGCCAGCACCUGCACCCGUAAAGGCACCACCAACACCAGCACCUGCACCUGUAAAGGCACCACCAACGCCAGCACCAGCACCAAUUACUCUGCCACCAGCUCCUGCACCUGCCCCCCCCAAGCACAAGAAGAAAAGAAAGCACAAGCACAAGAGGCAUCAUCAUGCACCAGCU
rnacentral:lncRNA from 1 species